GAUAUGAGCUGGCUUAUCGCGUUUGAGCAAUCAGGCGAGGAAAGUCCGGGCAGCGCAGAGCACUCUACUUCCUAACGGGAAGGAGGACGGCUGGGAACGGCCGUUCGACAGCCAGUGUCACAGAAAAUAUACCGCCGAUUUUUCAAUGAGCGAAUGGGAUAAUGAGUGAUUGAGUGAAUAGCUGGCGCAAGCCGGUCCACUCAGGCAAUAGUUCGCUCAUUCGCUCAUUGAAGAACUGGUAAGGGUGAAAAGGUGGGGUAAGAGCCUACCGCCCGGCGGGCGACCGACGGGGCAGGAUAAACCUUAGGGGCUGAAAGACCAAAUAAGCGUCGGAUGUGGGGCUGCUCGUCCCCGUUCUGGAGUAAUCCCAGCCGGGAACAAUCCAGAUGCCGACGCGGGUAGGUCGAAUGAGGUGGCCGGUGACGACCAUCCUAGAUAAAUGAUAAGCCAUUCGGUUAACCCCGGAGGACAGAACCCGGCUUAUAGGCUCGUGUCAAUC
rnacentral:RNase_P_RNA from 1 species